rnacentral:rRNA from 1 species
UUAAAGGGCUGCAGUAUAUUGACUGUACAAAGGUAGCAUAAUCAUUAGUCAUUUAAUUGAUGACUUGUAUGAAGGAUUGGAUGAAAUAUAAACUGUCUCUUAAUUAUAUUUAGAAUUUAAUUUUUUAAUUAAAAAGUUAAAAUAAAUUAAAAAGACGAGAAGACCCUAUAGAGUUUUAUAAAUAAAAUUAAUUGAGAUUAUUUGUAAAAUUAAAAUUAAGAUUAAUUUAAUUAUUUUGUUGGGGUGACAGAAAAAUAUGAAAAACUUUUUAUAUGUUUUAAAACGUUGAUAAGUGGUUAAAUGAUCCAGUAUUAUUGAUUAUAAGAAAAAAUUACCUUAGGGAUAACAGCGUAAUUUUUUUUUUUAGUUCACAUAAAAAAAAAAGUUUGCGACCUCGAUGUUGGAUUAAGAUAAAAUUUAAAUGUAGAAG